rnacentral:rRNA from 1 species
ACGGUAACAGGUCUUCGGAUGCUGACGAGUGGCGAACGGGUGAGUAAUACAUCGGAACGUGCCCGAUCGUGGGGGAUAACGAAGCGAAAGCUUUGCUGAUACCGCAUACGAUCUACGGAUGAAAGCAGGGGACCGCAAGGCCUUGCGCGAACGGAGCGGCCGAUGGCAGAUUAGGUAGUUGGUGGGAUAAAAGCUUACCAAGCCGACGAUCUGUAGCUGGUCUGAGAGGACGACCAGCCACACUGGGACUGAGACACGGCCCAGGCUCCUACGGGAGGCAGCAGUGGGGAAUUUUGGACAAUGGGCGAAAGCCUGAUCCAGCCAUGCCGCGUGCAGGAUGAAGGCCUUCGGGUUGUAAACUGCUUUUGUACGGAACGAAAAGACUCUGGUUAAUACCUGGGGUCCAUGACGGUACCGUAAGAAUAAGCACCGGCUAACUACGUGCCAGCAGCCGCGGUAAUACGUAGGGUGCAAGCGUUAAUCGGAAUUACUGGGCGUAAAGCGUGCGCGGGCGGUUAUAUAAGACAGAUGUGAAAUCCCCGGGCUCAACCUGGGAACUGCAUUUGUGACUGUAUAGCUAGAGUACGGCAGAGGGGGAUGGAAUUCCGCGUGUAGCAGUGAAAUGCGUAGAUAUGCGGAGGAACACCGAUGGCGAAGGCAAUCCCCUGGGCCUGUACUGACGCUCAUGCAC